GACGAACGCUGGCGGCGUGCUUAACACAUGCAAGUCGAACGGAAAGGCCCUUCGGGGUACUCGAGUGGCGAACGGGUGAGUAACACGUGGGUGAUCUGCCCUGCACUUUGGGAUAAGCCUGGGAAACUGGGUCUAAUACCGAAUAGGACCACGCGCUUCAUGGUGUGUGGUGGAAAGCUUUUGCGGUGUGGGAUGGGCCCGCGGCCUAUCAGCUUGUUGGUGGGGUAAUGGGCUACCAAGGCGACGACGGGUAGCCGGCCUGAGAGGGUGACCGGCCACACUGGGACUGAGAUACGGCCCAGACUCCUACGGGAGGCAGCAGUGGGGAAUAUUGCACAAUGGGCGCAAGCCUGAUGCAGCGACGCCGCGUGAGGGAUGACGGCCUUCGGGUUGUAAACCUCUUUCAAUAGGGACGAAGCGCAAGUGACGGUACCUAUAGAAGAAGCACCGGCCAACUACGUG
rnacentral:rRNA from 1 species